UAUAUUUUGUCCAUUUUUGCCACUUUUUUGCCAUUUUUAAUUCAUUUCUUGCCACUUUUUUUCCCCAAUUGUUGCCACUUUUAUCCAAUUUUUGCCCAUUUUAGCUACCUUCUGUCAAUAAAUACCCUUUCCCCCAUUUUCUAAUCUCAUUUUGCCCUUUUUCAUCAUUUUUUGUCACUUUUCACUCAUUUGAGCAAUGUUUAGUCAUUAGAUACAGUUUUUCUUCUAGUUCUUGCCCAUUUCAGCCACUUCUUUUUGCUACUUUUAUCCCAUUUUUGCCAUUUUCACCAUUUUUGCCGACUUUAACUUAUUUUUCUGCUACUUCAAGCUGUUUUUGCCUCUUUUCACCACUUAAAUUGUGGCUCUUGCAAAGGAGAAACCCUGCAGAUGCUCUACAUUACACUGAACCCAUUAGUUCUCUCCUGACUACAUGACCGCUAAUCCUACCAGCAUUACGACACCAGAUCGAUGGCAGUCAAAUGAAGCCAUAAAGCGCAUCGAGACAGCGUGACCCCUGGGCCAGAUCCAGACUAACUCAGUGGAUAACUUCACUCAGGCUGCCACUUAUGAAUCACUACACCACCUCUACCACCCUCUGCACCUCGACUGGAGUCCACCUGUGGCAAAUUAAACUAAUUGGACGUGAUUUAAAUAGGCACUCACCUCUCUAUAGGACUCUCAGCUGACAAUUAUACCAGAGCAGAAACCAAGCCAUGAGGUCAAAGGAGGUGCAGAGCUCAGAGACAGGACUGUUGCACAGAUCUGGAUGGAGGGGCACAGCGGCCUCCAGAGUUCUCACAUAGAAGACGUUUGGACCAACCAGGACUCCCUCAAGAGCCAGCUGAUCUGGAGAGCACAAAGCAGGGACAGCACACGUUCCUGCCUUUCCUGUUCCUACCUGAGGCAGGAAGUGAAGCAGCACCCCGGAGCAGAGCGGGCAUCACUGACAGCAGAAGGAUUCAUUAAGAAGCAGGAUGAAGGAGGAGCUAAAAAUGCUAAAAUUCAUGAUUUAUAUUAUUCUUUAAAACAUUUUUGUUUUGCUUUUUCUCUUAACACUUCCAUCUCUGAUCAUGACAUAACAAAUCUUUGGUCAAUGCCAUGAUGUUAUGUGUUUUUAACCCUUUAAAUGCCCGUCUGUUCAAUUUUCAUUCAGCAGAAUGAGAUAUUUUACAUAUUAAAAAUGCUAAGGGGAUUUUUUAUUAUU